GAAUUUUGGACAAUGGGGGCAACCCUGAUCCAGCAAUGCCGCGUGCAGGAAGAAGGCCUUCGGGUUGUAAACUGCUUUUGUACGGAACGAAAAGGCUCUGGUUAAUACCUGGGGCGCAUGACGGUACCGUAAGAAUAAGCACCGGCUAACUACGUGCCAGCAGCCGCGGUAAUACGUAGGGUGCAAGCGUUAAUCGGAAUUACUGGGCGUAAAGCGUGCGCAGGCGGUGCUGUAAGACAGGCGUGAAAUCCCCGGGCUCAACCUGGGAAUUGCGCUUGUGACUGCAGUGCUGGAGUGCGGCAGAGGGGGAUGGAAUUCCGCGUGUAGCAGUGAAAUGCGUAGAUAUGCGGAGGAACACCGAUGGCGAAGGCAAUCCCCUGGGCCUGCACUGACGCUCAUGCACGAAAGCGUGGGGAGCAAACAG
rnacentral:rRNA from 1 species